rnacentral:tRNA from 1 species
CGCUUUGCGUAUCUCAACGGUAGAGCAGUCGAUUAAAUAUUGAUGUAUUACGGGUUCAAUUCCCGUCGCCAGUUA